rnacentral:ncRNA from 2 species
AAGACAAAUGAAUAGUGUGUUCAUAUAGUAGCAGAGAUAAGGUCUGCGAGUUUCUACCGGACUGCCGUAAAUGGUCCGACUAUGAGCGAAAGUGUACCUAAG